AAGAAUUACGAUAGAAAAUCAAUCUCGCAGGUCACUAAAUAUAUUUAACCUGAAAUUGAGACAGAGACCACAAUGUAAUAGUAACCAAGGUGUCGAUAAUGAAUCUCAGCGUUAAUUAGUCCAGCAGAGGUGAGGCGAUAGGUAGUUCGUCGUGGCAUACCGAUAUCUCUUUAGCAGUGCCGUGAGCAAACUGAAGGAAAGAAGGAAGGAAAGAGAAGAAGAAGAAGAAGAAGAAGAAGAAGAAGAAGAAGAAGAAGAAGAAGAAGAAGAAGAAGAAGAAGAGGAGGAGAGUAAAGCUUAACUGAAACGUCACGCCACUUGUUACUCGUUAGUGUGCACGAUGCCAUCUUUACAACGAGCACAGAGGACCCUGAGGCCGAGUUACUUCCUACGGUAGCCGACAUCGAUAGCGACCAAGAGCGUGUAAUUAACAAUGUUUCUCGUCUUUAUCCAGAUAUAAAACGAAACGUUAAGGUUUGAAUGAAAAAAAAAAAGGAGAAAAGAAAGGCGAUAAAAAGAGGGAGAGAGAGAGAGAGAGAGAGAGAGAGAGAGAGGGAGAUAAAGGAAAGGGAAUUUACUGAGAACGAACAACGGUGUGUCAGGUGGCGUCUGGAUUCGAAUCGUCGAGACGAAGACGACGACGACCAUGUUCUGUGGCUUGGUCCAAUCUCGAAGGUAUCUUUCGAGAGUCGACAGCAAGUGUGCUUCCAUUACGCUGGGCGGUGGUCCCUCGUUAUAUCCGUGGGACGGCCAACUCCGUGGCUGCACAUCUGAUAAUCCAAGGAUUUAUGGUGGCCCUGAUGGUUCAUUUAGCACCGACAUGGUCGACAGGGGCGGCGUCGAAAUAUCUUCGCGUGCGUGGCCGUGCUAACGCGACUAUGCGGAAAUAUCUCGUUAAAAAUGGGUUAGCUCGUUCGUAAGCGAGAACGCGUCACGUCAUUUAAUACCUCACAUCGCAUCAUAUAUGUAUGUUAUACUAUAUCCGGAUACUAUAUUCGUAUUCUUAUUCUUCUUUUUUUAUUAUAUUUUAUUUAUUUUUUCUUUUCUUUUCAUUUGAUCUUCUUCCUUUUCGUCUCUUUCUUUCUUUCUUUUUUCUUCUUUUUUCUUUUUUCCCUUUUAAUCUGUUAGACAGAACAAACAGUAAAACCAUUAAAGGGACUUUCUUAUUUCUUUUAUUUAAUACACGAGAAACGUAUCAAGGAGUUAAUUAUUUUGUUAAGUUGGAUAUUAAACGUCCUCGUUUGAACAAGACCUUCUUCGACUGUGACCGACGGUGGAAAAGAGGAAGGGGAAGGAUUUAGUACUGCACCACGAAUCGCAGAACGGAUGGAACUUUCACUCGAUGGAAUCAUCAAAUAGGAACAUUUGCAACAACCAUAAGAUAAUCGUCGUCGUCGUCGUCAUCAUCAUCAUCAUCAUCAUCAUCAUAAUCAUCAUGAUCGAAGGAUUUCUAUCGUAAAAUCGUUAGUGUUUGUGAGAGACUCGACGCGAUUCGACGUGACCGAUAAUCGCUCGUCCAGGACGUCAUGUCGUCGUCCUCGUCGUCUUCGUCGUUGUCAUCUUGCACUCUUGCUUUUGACGUUAGAUCCAUUCUCGUGAGCUCAAGGAAAGAUUUCGACAUUGUUAGCCCCUCAGCCGUCGUUCGAACGAUCAUCGGCGUCGUAAAGAUCUCGUGAUAUGACAUGCGUUACGUAUCUUCUUCUUCGUCGUGAUACGAAAGUCGCAUAAAUGUCUCCUCCCUCUCCCUCUCCCUCUCUCUCUCCCUCUCUCUCUCUCUCUCUCUCUCGUUUAGUCAUACGUCCGUGUAUCCAGGAAGUAUCUUCACGUCAAUGUGCCUUCGAUAAGAUGCAAAAUUAAAGAUUAUUUAUUUAUUUCUUUAUCAUGCAAUAUAUACGUAACGAACGCUUUGUGAACACGUAGAGAAGAGUAAAAGCAAGAAAACAAGUUCGAUAGAAGGGAGAGAGACGAACCAAGAUCGGAUUUUCGAUCGAGCUCACAUCGAGGAUAGUUUCGCGGCUCAUUAGCCGAUUAGAGCUGUAUUAUAUCGAAGAGUAAUUACCGGCCGCGUGAAUUAUUAGCUUGGCUCUCCGGUACUUUCUUUGAAAAAUGUCUGUCUACUAUAUAGGUGUACCUAUCUCUACGUGCUUUCGUUCGCCGCUUUUAGAAAGCCUAUUCGCCGAGAUCGAACGUUGUAUAAUAUCGAGGUAAUUACUCUUGUAAUUGCUCGGGUCCAUGCCUUUGAUUAGUAUCGCAAUGCAAUGCAACGCAAUGCAAGGAUUGAUAAACUUUCUUACUUCGUUAGCUAUAAUUCUAUUUAUUUUUUUGUUUUCCUUCUUUUUUCGUUUUCUUUUUUCUCUUUCUUUCUUUCUUUCUUUUUUUGUAUCUUUUUUUAAGAAAUAACAUCGACCGAUCACUGUUUUAUGAUGGGAUCGUUAAAAGUGUCCUUCGAUUGUUCCUUUGAUUAUUUCAAUACUCUCUUCCAAAGCUCGUGCAAAUAAAAAGCAAGCAAAGUUAAUGGGCAACGGUGGCACGCAUUUACGAGCCGUGGACGUUUUCGUAAUUCACUUUCUAACGCCUAGCUAAAAUUAUAUCGUCACUCUCUCGUACGUACAUGCAUACUUACUAACCUUCUCUUGCCGCACAUGUAUAUCUAUUAUACAUGUAAUACAUAACUAUAUCUUCUACCGUCCUACGGAUAUCUUAUAACGUUCGCAAUUCAAAUGGGCUCGUAGCAUAUUCGUAGUAUGACUAACUACGACGGUCUUUCUGGUCAUGCAAAAAGACGCUUCGCAUUCGUUGCCGAGUUAUGAGAAAGGGUUGUGUAUCUCUAUGUGAUAGUCUCUAUGCCUACGAUAAUAUACGAGAGAGUUAUAAUUUAUAAACGUUGUUAUAAUGUAAAACUUACGAGUUCGUACGUUGAAAUAUGAAAUACGAUAUUAUUCUAUUACCCUCAAUACGAUACGAUUAUUUUCUUGCAGAUCUAAAACGAGACUGAUCUUUGAAUAAUCGCGCGUAUGGAUAAUUAUGAACUCGUAAAAAAGAUUCUUGGUAUGGUUCAUGCGUUACCGGUGACAUGUAAAAAACUUGGAAGAAGUAGGGAGGGAAGAGAAACAAGAAGAAGAAGAAAAAAAAAAAAAGAAAAGAACGCACUUUCCUAAGGAAAUAGCACUAAAUGUGUGAUAACCGUGUUUUUCUUAAUAGAUAUCAAAAGUUAAUGAAGCAACGAUCGCGUAUAAACUGGUCGGUAUCAUUAAAUCCGAAUUUCCGAUUUAAUAGAAAGAAGAAAGAUAGAUAGGUAUACAGAAAAAGGAGAGAAUUAGUUCAAGUAUUCGUAUUUAUCCCCUUUUUUAUCCUUCUUUUUAUCCUUCUUCUUCCUUUUCUCUUGGAAUGCAUCAAAUGUAAUCAAGAUAAAAGUAGAUGAGUCUAAACGUUAAUCGAGCGUAUAAUUAUUUUGCUAGAGUUGAAAAAUACCAAAGAGAGUUCCCUCGGUACACGUGGCUCUUUACGACGUGGAAGAAAUCAUCGUAAAUAUAAAUGCUUCCGGUGAAAUGCUCUUGGCAAUCUCAUCGUAGUUAGGUCGUGUCCCGCUAUCUUCGAUCUGAUGCAUCACAAACGAAACGUUCCCGCAUGCUGGAUUUCUCUGCUGAGAUAUAGCUCGAGUUGGGGUGAUAUGAGGGGGACGACGACGACGACGACGACGACGACGACGACGACAAGGAAGAGGAGGAGGAGGUAGAAAGAAAUAAACGACUCUUCUCAUCGGCCAUUUUCGGAUAUUCGAAUCACUUCGCGGUAUUGGAAUAACGAAACAUGAUUUAUCUGGAAGAAGCAGCAGCAGCAUUGCCUCCAGCUGGACCCGCCGAUGCCUUUAAAACAUCCAUCGCUUUGUAAGCUUCGGAUUAUAGCAUGUACAAACACUCAGAAUAUAUAUAUAUAAAUAAA